rnacentral:rRNA from 1 species
AGAGUUUGAUCCUGGCUCAGGACGAACGCUGGCGGCGUGCUUAACACAUGCAAGUCGAACGAAAAGAGGGAAAGAGCUUGCUCUUUCCGGAAUUGAGUGGCAAACGGGUGAGUAACACGUAAACAACCUGCCUUCAGGAUGGGGACAACAGACGGAAACGACUGCUAAUACCGAAUAAGUUCCAAGGGCCGCAUGGCCCAUGGAAGAAAAGGUGGCCUCUACCUGUAAGCUAUCGCCUGAAGAGGGGUUUGCGUCUGAUUAGCUGGUUGGAGGGGUAACGGCCCACCAAGGCGACGAUCAGUAGCCGGUCUGAGAGGAUGAACGGCCACACUGGAACUGAGACACGGUCCAGACUCCUACGGGAGGCAGCAGUGGGGAAUCUUCCGCAAUGGGCGAAAGCCUGACGGAGCAACGCCGCGUGAGUGAUGACGGCCUUCGGGUUGUAAAACUCUGUGAUCCGGGACGAAAAGGCAGAGUGCGAAGAACAAACUGCAUUGACGGUACCGGAAAAGCAAGCCACGGCUAACUACGUGCCAGCAGCCGCGGUAAUACGUAGGUGGCAAGCGUUGUCCGGAAUUAUUGGGCGUAAAGCGCGCGCAGGCGGCUUCCCAAGUCCCUCUUAAAAGUGCGGGGCUUAACCCCGUGAUGGGAAGGAAACUGGGAAGCUGGAGUAUCGGAGAGGAAAGUGGAAUUCCUAGUGUAGCGGUGAAAUGCGUAGAGAUUAGGAAGAACACCGGUGGCGAAGGCGACUUUCUGGACGAAAACUGACGCUGAGGCGCGAAAGCGUGGGGAGCAAACAGGAUUAGAUACCCUGGUAGUCCACGCCGUAAACGAUGGAUACUAGGUGUGGGGGGUCUGACCCCCUCCGUGCCGCAGUUAACACAAUAAGUAUCCCACCUGGGGAGUACGAUCGCAAGGUUGAAACUCAAAGGAAUUGACGGGGGCCCGCACAAGCGGUGGAGUAUGUGGUUUAAUUCGACGCAACGCGAAGAACCUUACCAGGUCUUGACAUUGAUCGCGAUCUGCAGAAAUGCGGAGUUCUUCUUCGGAAGACGAGAAAACAGGUGGUGCACGGCUGUCGUCAGCUCGUGUCGUGAGAUGUUGGGUUAAGUCCCGCAACGAGCGCAACC